GGAGGAUCCGAGCGUUAUCCGGAUUUAUUGGGUUUAAAGGGAGCGUAGGUGGAUUGUUAAGUCAGUUGUGAAAGUUUGCGGCUCAACCGUAAAAUUGCAGUUGAUACUGGCAGUCUUGAGUACAGUAGAGGUAGGCGGAAUUCGUGGUGUAGCGGUGAAAUGUUCA
rnacentral:rRNA from 1 species